AAUGUUCCUGUAAAUUGACAAACAUAAUUUUUCAAUUUAAGUAGUCAGGUGCACUUUUUUUUUCGAUUCUGAUCGAGGUAGGACAAUAGAAAGUGCGUUUGAAAACUUUCUUUGUAUUCCCACACUGGUGCUUCGAAAGCGGUGAAGAAAGGAAGAUAAGAAUCAGCAAGGAGAUUUACAAUCGACAAAUAUGUUGCCCCGGUUUCAUUUUAGACCGCCUUUGUCUGUUUAUCGGGUUCUGUGCGAACACUGCAACCACUUUGCACAGCCCAGCCCCAUGGAGGCCUGCCGCCAUUAGCAAGUGUUUUUAAUCAUUGGCAGAUGAUGUCUAUGGCACCCUCUAUUGUAUACAAGGGGGUUUAUGCCCUGCACACAGAUGUCCUUCACAACCAAAUCUCACCCCACAUGUUCGUUU